AUGGGGAGCGACGACAGCGGCCGUGGCAGCAUCGCCUUCUUCGGCACCUACCGCCCGCCAGUGCCACUGGACAUCUACUCCUGCCCGGCCGACCCGCCGCCGUCCUCGCGGGAGGACGAGCACCACCUCACCGACGGCGUGUCCUACAACCAGAACGGCCGGGCCAUCCCGGCGGCCGCGCUCAAGGAGCUCCUCACGUUCCUUGGCAAGAAGAACCCCGCGCUCGCCGCCGAGUGCGGCGCCACGCCGGACGACGCCGAGCAGGGCCGCGUCGCCGGCCUCGUCUUCGUCUCCGAGAGGGACAAGGGGCUCGAGACGCUGCACGUGGCCCUUGUGCGCCCCAAAGGCGAAGGUGGUGCGGUGAAGGUGCUGAGCCUGGGCGACGUCUAUGGCGCCGGCACCUUCGGCGGCUCGCGGAUGGAGGACAGCGGCUGCGUCGCCGGCGGCUUCAAGGUGGGCGCUCGCGCCGUCGGCCACUCCCUCGUCUACGUCUCCACCAAGGAGCCGGUGACGAGGCGCCGCACGCCCUGGACCGUGGUGUACCGGACCAACCUCGCCGACGGCAAGACCGAGCGCCUCACCCCGCCAGGCCAGUACGACGUCAGCCCGGCCGUGUCGCCCUCCGGCAAGAUGGUGGCCGUGGCCAACUUCCGCGGGAACAAGUGGACGGGCGAGAUCGAGCGCCUCAACACCGACAUCGCCGUCAUGAACGUGGACAGGACGGCGCAGGGCGGCCUGCGCCGCAGGAUCCUCAUCCGGGACGGCGGGUGGCCGACGUGGGGCAGCGACAACGUCAUCUUCUUCCACCGAGGGACCGGCGAGUCCCCGACGAACUGGGCCGUGUUCCGCUACGACAUGGCCACCAAGGAGACCGUCCGGGUGACGCCCGAGGCCAUCGACGCCAUGACCCCCGCGGCCAUCAGCGAGACCAGGGUCGCCGUGGCCGCCAUCCGCCAGAAGUCUAGGCAGGCCGCCAUGACCACGCCGCGAGAGGAGGCGCAGUACCGCCACAUCGAGAUCUUCGACGUCGCGUCGCCGGACCGCCCCGCCGUGCAGAUCAGCCAGAAGAUCAGGCCGAAAGGCGACCACUACAACCCUUUCGUGGCCGACGGCGGCAGCCGCAUCGGCUACCAUCGGGUCAGAACCGACGAUCUCGUCAUUGGGAAUAAUCUUUCUGCCCCUAACAAGAGCUUCGACAAGAUGCACUCCCCUCACACAGAUGUGGGGCUGUUCCGGGUGUCGGGUGUGUUCCCAACCAUUUCCAAGGAUGGCGCCAAGCUCGCCUUCGUCGACAACGAGUUCAAGGCCGUGUGGCUUGCCGACACCCAAGGCCUGCGCGUCGUCUAUGAGGUAUCGUAUCUAUCUAUCCACCAUUGUCCCUCAAGAAGUAGAAAGAAUCAAUACCAAUUCUCACCCAACAAAAACUUGCAGAAGCGGGGCUCCAACAGCGUCUUCUCAACGGCGUGGAACCAGAACCCGGACAAGGACACGUUGUACGUCUGCGUGGGCCCGUCCUUCUCCGCCGCCAAGCCAUUGGAGAUCUACGCCAUCUCCAACGUGUCCGGGCCGUCCGCCGGCCGGAAGGUGCAGCGCCUCACCGCCGGGAACUUCAACAACGCCUUCCCGUCGAGCAACGCGCAGGGGGACAAGUUUGUGUUUCGGUCCACGAGGGACGGCGGCAAAGAGAAGUUCCACAAGAACCUCUACAUCAUGGAGGACGCGGAGGAGGGGGAGUUCGGCCAGGGCACGGUGACACGGCUCACCGACGGGCCGUGGACCGACACCCACUGCAGCUGGUCGCCCAAGGGGGACUGGGUCGUCUUCUCCUCCACGCGCGAGAUGCCGGCCAGCGCGCCGGAGAUGGCCUUCCUCGACGCGGGCUACUUCGCCGUGUACCUGGUGAAGGUCAGCGACCCCACGGUGGUGGUGCGCGUGGUGCAGAGCUCGGCUACCCUCGCGGGACACGUUAACCACCCUAUUUUCAGCCCCGACAUGAGGAGCAUUGUCUUCGCCUCCGACCUCGCCGCCGUCUCCAACGAGCCGAUCUCGAUGCCCGUCUUCCUGCACUCCGUUAGGCCCUACGGCGACAUCCUUUCGGUCGACCUCCGCGACACUGAUGACAUCACCAAGAACAAGGACAUCCAGGAGUUCCACCGCAUCACGCACAGUCGCUACGAGUACUCCACUCCGACGUGGACCAAGUUCGCCACCGACGACCCCAAUGAGCAGUGGAACAUGCUCGCCGCCAAGGGCAGCACCCCAUUCAGGCCGGCGUGCCCUUACAUGUACCCUGACGGAGGAGAGGGCUGGCACAUGGCCGGCCACCUCACCAUCCCAAAGAGAUGCUGCUAG
rnacentral:rRNA from 1 species